rnacentral:rRNA from 1 species
UACGAAGGGGACUAGCGUUGUUCGGAAUCACUGGGCGUAAAGCGCACGUAGGUGGAUUUGUAAGUCAGGGGUGAAAUCCCGGGGCUCAACCUCGGAACUGCCUUUGAUACUGCAAGUCUUGAGUCCGAUAGAGGUGGGUGGAAUUCCUAGUGUAGAGGUGAAAUUCGUAGAUAUUAGGAAGAACACCGGUGGCGAAGGCGGCCCACUGGAUCGGUACUGACACUGAGGUGCGAAAGCGUGGGGAGCAAACAGG